rnacentral:rRNA from 1 species
CAACCUGCCCAUCACUUGGGGAUAACCUUGCGAAAGUAAGACUAAUACCCAAUGACGUCCAUAGAAGACAUCUGAAGUGGAUUAAAGAUUUAUCGGUGACGGAUGGGGAUGCGUCUGAUUAGCUUGUUGGCGGGGUAACGGCCCACCAAGGCGACGAUCAGUAGGGGUUCUGGGAGGAAGGUCCCCCACAUUGGAACUGAGACACGGUCCAAACUCCUACGGGAGGCAGCAGUGAGGAAUAUUGGUCAAUGGACGAGAGUCUGAACCAGCCAAGUAGCGUGCAGGAUGACGGCCCUAUGGGUUGUAAACUGCUUUUAUAAGGGAAUAAAGUGGGAGUCGUGACUCCUUUUGCAUGUACCUUAUGAAUAAGGACCGGCUAAUUCCGUGCCAGCAGCCGCGGUAAUACGGAAGGUCCGGGCGUUAUCCGGAUUUAUUGGGUUUAAAGGGAGCGUAGGCCGGAGAUUAAGCGUGUUGUGAAAUGUAGACGCUCAACGUCUGCACUGCAGCGCGAACUGGUUUCCUUGAGUACGCACAAAGUGGGCGGAAUUCGUGGUGUAGCGGUGAAAUGCUUAGAUAUCACGAAGAACUCCGAUUG